CCCUUAGAUGUUCUGGGCCGCACGCGCGCUACACUGAUGCAUUCAACGAGUUUCUUCCUGGUCCGAGAGGAAUGGGUAACCUUUUGAAAGUGCAUCGUGAUAGGGAUAGACUAUUGCAAUUAUUGGUCUUCAACGAGGAAUUCCUAGUAGACGUAGUUCAUCAGACUGCAUCGAUUACGUCCCUGCCCUUUGUACACACCGCCCGUCGCUCCUACCGAUUGAAUGCUCAGGUGAGCCAUUCGGACUUUCAUCAUGCUGGUUUCCAGUUUUGAUGAAGGAAAGUCUUGCGAACCUUAUCAUUUACAGGAAGGAGAAGUCGUAACA
rnacentral:rRNA from 1 species